UAAUACAGAGGCCUCAAGCGUUGUUCGGAUUCAUUGGGCGUAAAGGGUGCGUAGGUGGCUUGUUAAGUUGAAGGUGAAAUCUCGGGGCUCAACUCCGAAACUGCCUUCAAUACUGGCGAGCUCGAGGAUUGUAGAGGAGAAUGGAAUUCACGGUGUAGCAGUGAAAUGCGUAGAUAUCGUGAGGAAGACCAGUGGCGAAGGCGAUUCUCUGGGCAAUUCCUGACACUGAGGCACGAAGGCCAGGGGAGCAAACGGGAUUAGAUACCCCGGUAGUCCUGGCAGUAAACGGUGCACGUUUGGUGUGGGAGGAUUCGACCCCUUCCGUGCCGGAGCUAACGCGUUAAACGUGCCGCCUGGGAAGUACGGUCGCAAGAUUA
rnacentral:rRNA from 1 species